rnacentral:rRNA from 1 species
CCUACGGGGGGCUGCAGUGAGGAAUAUUGCACAAUGGGGGCAACCCUGAUGCAGCAACGCCGCGUGGAGGAUGAAGGCCUUCGGGUCGUAAACUCCUUUUCUGGGGGAAGAGGAAGGACGGUACCCCAGGAAUAAGUCACGGCUAACUACGUGCCAGCAGCCGCGGUAAUACGUAGGUGGCAAGCGUUAUCCGGAAUUACUGGGCGUAAAGCGCGCGCAGGCGGCCGAAUAAGUCUGACGUGAAAGCUCCUGGCUUAACUGGGAGAGGUCGUUGGAAACUGUUUGGCUUGAGGCAGUGAGAGGGGUGCAGAAUUCCCGGUGUAGUGGUGGAAUGCGUAGAUAUCGGGAGGAAUACCAGUGGCGAAAGCGGCACCCUGGCACUGAACUGACGCUCAUGUGCGAAAGCGUGGGUAGCGAACGGGAUUAGAUACCCGUGUAGUC